rnacentral:rRNA from 1 species
CCUACGGGACGCAGCAGUGGGGAAUAUUGCACAAUGGGGGAAACCCUGAUGCAGCGACGCCGCGUGAGUGAAGAAGUAUUUCGGUAUGUAAAGCUCUAUCAGCAGGGAAGAUAAUGACGGUACCUGAGUAAGAAGCCCCGGCUAACUACGUGCCAGCAGCCGCGGUAAUACGUAGGGGGCAAGCGUUAUCCGGAUUUACUGGGUGUAAAGGGAGCGUAGACGGCGAUGCAAGUCUGAAGUGAAAGGCGGGGGCCCAACCUCCGGACUGCUUUGGAAACUGUAUGGCUGGAGUGCAGGAGAGGUAA